rnacentral:lncRNA from 1 species
AUGGAUGUAAUCAAAAUUCUAUAGGAUCAGUAGUUCAUGAGAAGCGGCCAAAUGCGUUCGGCAAUUCAGGCAGAUAGAAGCUUGGUUGAUUGAUUGCUCUUCAUGUUAAAUUUCACCUAAUGGUUUCCCUUUUUGUUGGUUUAAAUUCUUCAUUUUUCUUUGAAUUGUUGAUUUAUAAUGUCUUGUAUGCAAAAUUCGGAAUUUGGGAUGAUGAUAAUCUUGAUUUAGAACAGAUUAGGUAGCAUGUGGAAUCAAGGCAUGCGAAAGCUUUGAUUUGUUUCUGAUACUUUCCUGGCAUUGGGGGAUAUUGUUUCUCUUUUGAUUUUCUGUUUUUGUUGUUAUGGGAUUUGGAGAGAGUGUACAUGAAUGAAUAUGAUGUAACAGAGUGCUUUUGAUAAAUUCCCCUGAUCGGUUC